rnacentral:rRNA from 1 species
UACGUAGGGGGCAAGCGUUGUCCGGAUUUAUUGGGCGUAAAGAGCUCGUAGGCGGUUUGGUAAGUCUGGUGUGAAAUCUCCACGCUCAACGUGGAGGGGCCACCCGAUACUGCCAUGACUGGAGUCCGGUAGAGGAGUGUGGAAUUCCCGGUGUAGCGGUGAAAUGCGCAGAUAUCGGGAGGAACACCUGAGGCGAAGGCGGGCUACUGGGCCGAUACUGACGCUGAUGCGCGAAAGCCAGGGGAGCAAACGGG